rnacentral:rRNA from 1 species
UACGAAGGGGGCGAGCGUUGUUCGGAUUUACUGGGCGUAAAGGGCGCGUAGGCGGUGCAGGAAGUCGAGUGUGAAAGCCCCGGGCUCAACCUGGGAAUGGCGUUCGAUACUCUUGCGCUGGAGUUCGGGAGAGGAGCGUGGAAUUCCCAGUGUAGAGGUGAAAUUCGUAGAUAUUGGGAAGAACACCGGUGGCGAAGGCGGCGCUCUGGACCGAGACUGACGCUGAGGCGCGAAAGCGUGGGGAGCAAACAGG